CCUACGGGCGGCAGCAGUGAGGAAUAUUGGUCAAUGGACGCAAGUCUGAACCAGCCAUGCCGCGUGCAGGAAGACGGCUCUAUGAGUUGUAAACUGCUUUUGUACGAGGGUAAACGCAGAUACGCGUAUCUGUCUGAAAGUAUCGUACGAAUAAGGAUCGGCUAACUCCGUGCCAGCAGCCGCGGGAAUACGGAGGAUUCAAGCGUUAUCCGGAUUUAUUGGGUUUAAAGGGUGCGUAGGCGGUCGGAUAAGUUAGAGGUGAAAUCCCGAGGCUCAACUUCGGAAUUGCCUCUGAUACUGGUCGGCUAGAGAGUAGUUGCGGUAGGCGGAAUGUAUGGUGUAGCGGUGAAAUGCUUAGAGAUCAUACAGAACACCGAUUGCGAAGGCAGCAUACCAAGCUACUUCUGACGUUGAGGCACGAAAGCGUGGGGAGCAAACAGGAUUAGAUACCCCAGUAGUC
rnacentral:rRNA from 1 species